rnacentral:rRNA from 1 species
AUGGAGAGAACCGUCGCCCACAUCCUGCUGGUGCUUUCGCUCGGGGCGGCCCUCGUCGUCGCCCGCCGCCCUACCGGUGCCUCCGGCGAGGUGGCAGCCAUUCGCCUCCCGAGCGACGGCCAAGGUCUUGGUGGUGAUGCAACAACACUCGAGGAGGAUGAGAGGCCGUGGGCAUGCUGCGACGACACCCACUGCCUGAGGGUGAUCCCGAGGGCCUGCCUCUGCCGCGACACGGUGGCGCAGUGCGCCAGCGCGUGCCAGCACUGCGACCAGGUCGGCCCUGGCCGCUACGUUUGCCUGGAUAUACACGAAGGUUGGCCCGGCCCAAAGUGCACGCACCAAGUGGACGUCGCCGGCGCCGGUAACUAG